AAUGCUUCUCGGCCUUUUGGCUAAGAUUAAAGUGUAGUAUCUGUUCUUAUCAGCUUAAUAGCUGAUACGGUUCCUAUUUUGGGCCAUCGAUAUUAAACUGAUUUUUAGAACGAGGCGAAAUGUAAGGGGUUUGCUCCGCCUUAGUCAUGUACUUUUUCAGGCACAGAAGUAGCUGUGUGGUAAGUAGCUUGCUU